rnacentral:tRNA from 1 species
GCGCCCGUAGCUUAAGUGGAUAGAGCAGUAGCUUCCGGAGCUACCAAAUAUGGGUUCAAAUCCCUUCGGGCGCG